rnacentral:rRNA from 1 species
UGGGGAAUCUUGGACAAUGGGGGCAACCCUGAUCCAGCCAUGCCGCGUGAGUGAUGAAGGCCUUAGGGUCGUAAAGCUCUUUCGCCUGUGAAGAUAAUGACGGUAGCAGGUAAAGAAACCCCGGCUAACUCCGUGCCAGCAGCCGCGGUAAUACGGAGGGGGCGAGCGUUAUUCGGAAUUAUUGGGCGUAAAGGGCGCGUAGGCGGCCCGAUAAGUCCAAGGUGAAAGCCCUCGGCUCAACCGAGGAACUGCCUUGGAUACUGUCGGGCUCGAGGCUGGAAGAGGGUGAUGGAAUUCCCGGUGUAGCGGUGAAAUGCGUAGAUAUUUGGAGGAACACCAGUGGCGAAGGCGGCUCACUGGCUCGAUACUGACGCUGAGGUGCGAAAGUGUGGGGAGCAAACAGGAUUAGAUACCCUGGUAGUCCACACCGUAAACGAUGAAUGCCAGUCGUCGGGUAGCAUGCUAUUCGGUGACACACCUAACGGAUUAAGCAUUCCGCCUGGGGAGUACGGUCGC